rnacentral:rRNA from 1 species
AACGAACGCUGGCGGCAUGCCUAACACAUGCAAGUCGAACGAGACCUUCGGGUCUAGUGGCGCACGGGUGCGUAACGCGUGGGAACCUGCCCUUAGGUUCGGAAUAACUCCCCGAAAGGGGUGCUAAUACCGGAUAAUGUCUUCGGACCAAAGAUUUAUCGCCUUUGGAUGGGCCCGCGUUGGAUUAGCUAGUUGGUAGGGUAAAAGCCUACCAAGGCGACGAUCCAUAGCUGGUCUGAGAGGAUGAUCAGCCACACUGGGACUGAGACACGGCCCAGACUCCUACGGGAGGCAGCGGUAGGGAAUAUUGGACGAUGGGCGAAAGCCUGAUCCAGCAAUGCCGCGUGAGUGAUGAAGGCCUUAGGGUUGAAAAGCUCUUUUACCCGGGAUGAUAAUGACAGUACCGGGAGAAUAAGCUCCGGCUAACUCCGUG